rnacentral:lncRNA from 1 species
UUCUUCAUGAUUGAAUUUUAGUAGGUUAUAUGUGUAUAGGAGUUUAACCAUUUCUUCUAGAUUUUCCAAAUUUGCUUAUAGUAGCCACUAAUGAUCCUUUGAAUUUCUGUGUUUACAGUUGUUAUGUCUCCUUUUACGUCUCUGAUUUCAUUUAUUUGUGUCUUCUCUUUUUCUGAGUCUGACUAAAGAUUUGCAAAUUUUGUUUAUCUUUUCAAGAAAACAACUUUUUGUUUUAUUAAUCUUUUGCAUUGUUUUCUUCAAUUAAAUUCAUUUAUUUCUGCUCUGAUUUUUAUCAUUUCUUUUCUUCUAGUAAUAUUUGGUUUGAUUUGCUCUUGCUUUUCUAGUUCUUUAAGAUACAUUAUUUGGUUGAAGAUGUUCUUUUUUGAUGCAGGCACUUAUAGCUAUGAACUUCCCUCUUAGUACUGCUUUAGCUGUAUCCCAUAGCUUUUGGUAUGUUGUAUUUCCAUUAUCAUUUGCUUCAAGAAAUCUAUUAGGUCCAUUUGUUCUAUAGUGCAGAUUGAAUACAAUUUUUGUUGUUAUUGAUUUUCUGUCUGGGAGAUCUGUCCGAUGCUGAAAGUAGAGUGUUGAAGUCUCCUGCUAUUAUUGUACUGGGGCCUAUCUCUUUAGCUCUAAUUUGAUUUGGUUUUUAUAUCUGGAUGCUCAAGUGUUGGGUUCAAAUACAUUUACAUUCAUUAUAUCCUCUUACUGAAUUGACCCCUUUUUCAUCAUAUAAUGACCAUCUCUGUCUCUUCUUAUAGUUUUUUCUUUAAAUCUAUUUUGUCUAAUAUACACAUGGCUACUCCUGCUAUUCUUUGGUUUCCAUUGGCAUGGAAUAUAUUUUUCUAUCCCUUUACUUUCAGUCUAUUUGUAUCUUUAUAACUGAAGUGUGUUUCUUAUAGACAACAGAUCAUUGGGUCAUUUUUAAAAUUAAUUCAGCCACUCUGUCUUUUGAUUAGAGACUUAAAUCCACUUAAAUUUAAUGUUAUUAUUGAGAAUUAAGAACUUACUCCUGCCAUUGUGCUAUUUGUUUUUUCAUUGUUUUGCAGUCUUCUCUUCCUUGUUUUAUUCCUUCUUAUCUGCUUUUUGGUGAAAGUGAUUUUCUUUGGUGGUCUGCUUUAAUUUCAUGCUCUUUGUUUUUUGUGUAGCUGUUGUAGAUUUUUUGAUUUGAGGUUACCAUGGGGCUUUCAAAUAAUAUUUUAUAGCUGAUUAUUUUAAACUGAUGAAAACUUGACACUGAUUGCAUAAAAAACACACAAAAUAACUCUUUAAAAACUGUAUGCUUUUCUUUUUUUUUUUUUUUUUUUGAGAUAGAGUCUUGCUCUGUCACCCAGGCUGGAGUCCAGCAAUGCCAUCUCGGCUCACUGCAGCCUCCAUGAUUCUCCUACCUUAGCCUCUCAAGUAGCUGGGAUUACAGGCCUGGGCCACCAUGUCCAACUAAUUUUUGUAUUUUCAGUAGAGACAGGGUUUCGCCAUGUUGGCCAGGCUGGUCUCAAACUCCUGACCUCAAGUGAUGCACCUGCCUUGGCCUCCCAAAGUGUUGAGAUUACAGGUAUGAGCCACUGCACUUGGUCCACAACUGUAUACUUUGACUUUAUUCCCUUGCUAUUUAACUUUUAGUUCUCUUUAUGUCUUAUUGUACUGUCUAUGUUUUGAAAAGUUGUCGUAGUUGUUAUUUUUUAUUGAGUCAUCAUUUAGUCUUUCUACUUAAGAGAAGUUUACACACCGUGAGUACUGUGUUAUACUGUUCUGUAUUUUUCUAUGUGUUUACUAUUAUCAGCAAGUUGUAUACCUUCAGAUGAUUUCUUCUUGCUCAUUAAAGUCCUUUUCUUGGGCUGGGUGCAGUGGCUCACACCUAAAAUCCCAGUACUUUGGGAGGCCAAGGCAGGCAUAUUGCCUGAGCUCAGGAGUUUUUGAUCAGCCUGGGCAACAUGAUGAAAUCCCAUCUGUACUUGAGCCUGGGAGGUUGAGGCUGCUGUGAGUCAUGAUGGUGCCAUUGCACUCCCCAGCCUGGUAACAGAGCAAGACGUCAUCUGAAAAAAAAAAAAAAAAAAAAAAAAAAGGUCCUUUUAUUUCAGAAGGAAGAUCUCCCUUUAGCAUUUCUUAUAAGACAGAGUUGAUGAAAUCCCUCAGCUUUUGUUUGGCAAGGGUUUUAUUUCUUCAUGCUUAAAGGAUAUUUUCACCAGAUAUACUAUUCUAGGGUAAAAGUUUUCUUUUUUUCCUUCAGCACUUCGUGCCACUCCCUCCUGGCCUUCUUUCCACUGAAAAGACUGCUGCCAGACAUAUUGGAGCGCCGUUCUAUGUUGUUUCUUUUCUCUUGCUACUUUUAGUAUCCUUUCUUUAUCCUUGACCUUUCAGAGUUUGAUUAUUAAAUGUCUUAAGGUAGUCUUCCUUGGGUUAAAUCAGCUUGGUGUUCUACAACCUUCUUCUACUUGGAUAUUAAUAUACUUCUCUAGGUUUGAGAAGUUCUCUGAUAUUAUCCCUUUAAAUAAAUUUUCUUACCCCUAUGUGUUUCUCUAACUCUUCUUUAAGGCCAAUAACUCUUUGAUUUGCCAUUUUUAAGCUAUUUUCAAGAUCUUGUAGGCAGGCUUCAUCACUUUUUAUUAUUUUUUUCUUUUGUCCGUGACUAUGUAUUUUGAAAUAGCCUAUCUUCAAGCUCACUAAUUCCUUCUUCUGCUUAAUUUAAUUCAUUUGGUGAGGUCAUGUUUUCCUAGUUGGUGUUAAUGCUUGCAGAUGUUCUUCAGUGUCUGGGCAUUGAGGAGUUAGGUAUUUAUUAUAGUCUUCACAGUCUGGGCUUAUUUGUACCUAUCGUUCUUGGGAAGGCUUUCUAGGUAUUUGAAGGGACUUGAACCCCAAACUCAAUAAUGCUGUGCUUUUUCCAGACUCGUAGAGGUACCACCUUGGUUGUCUUGGAUAAAAUCUGGAAUAAUUAUCUGGGUUACCAGGAGAGACCCUUGUUCUUUUCGCUUACUUUCUCCAAAACAUAUGAAGCCUCUCUCUCUGUGCUGAACCACCUGGAACUGGAGGUGUGAUGAGGACUUUAUGGAUGGCAGAACUUUAGAGCAAUGAAUACAUGGCUAUGUUCAUCAAAGCCAUGAAGACACAGUGGCCUGAAAUCUUGGGGACCCAAUUCCCACACCAGUGUGUCCAAGAGUUAUAGAGAUGAAAAUGCAUAUGGAAUUAUCAUGCAAAUUACCAAUAAAGAGAAUCACUGGUCAGAAUCCCUAUAUUUUGGAGAAGAAAAAUUUUGAAAACCAGUCAGAAUUCAAUCAACUGCAGUUGGGAGAAAGACAGCGAGUAGCUUGAGAGAGAUGAGAAACUAUCAAAAAGAAGUUCCUGACAUGGCAACAGUGUAUCAUCCAAUGAAUCAAUCGCCUCACCCAACACUGUAACACUUCCUGGCCUAUUGACUCAGAGCAUGAGGAAACCAAAGUGACCAGGGGAAGGCCUCAGGAAACUUACAAUCAUGGUGAAGGAGAAGCAGGCACAUCACAUGGCUGGAGCAACAAGCAAGAAGCAGGGGAAGUGCCGCACACUGUUAAACAAGCAGACCUCUCAAGAACUCAUUCACUAUCACAAAAACAGCACCAAGAGGAUGGUGCUAAAUGAUUCAUGAGAAAUCCCCCUCCGUGAUCCAGUCACCUCCCACCAGGCCUCACCUCCAUGAGAUUUGGUGCAAACACAGAUCGAAACCAUAUCAACAACUUUUAAUUUAGGUUCAUGGAGUACAUGUGUAGGUUUGUUACAUGGGUAAAUUGCCUGUCACAGGGGUUUGGUGUACAGAUAAUUUUGUCAUCCAGGCAGUCAACAUAAUACCCAGUAGAUAGUUUUUCAAUCCUCACCUUCCUCUUGCCCUACACCCUCAAGUAGGCCCCAGUGUGUAUUAUUCCCUUCUUUGUGUCUGUUGUACUCAAUGUUUAAUUUCACUUGUAAGUGAGAGCAUGUAGUGCUUGAUUUUCUGUUCCUGUAUUAGUUAGCUAAGGAUAAUGUCCUCCAGCUGCAUCCAUGUUGCUGCAAAGAAUAUGAUCUUGUUCUUUUUUAUGGUUGUAUAGUAGUCUAUGGACGUGUGGCUGAACUAAUUUAUCUUUUCACCAACAGUGUAUAAGUGUUCCGUUUUCUCCACAACCUUGCCACCACCUUUUCUUUUUUUUUUUUUUUUUUUUGACUUUUUAAUAGUACCCAUUCUGACUAGAGUGAGAUGAUAUCUCAUUGUGGUUUUGACUUGCAUUUCCCUAAUGAUUAGUGAUAUUGAGCAAUUUUUCAUAUACUUGUUGGCUGUGUGUAUGUAUUCUUUUGAGAAGUGUCUGUUUAUAUCCUUUGCCCAUUUUUAAAUGGGGUUGUUUGAUUUGUUUAAGUUCCUCAUAGAUUCUGGAUAUUAGGCCUUUGUUAGAUGCGUCGUUUGCAAAUAUUUUCUCCUAUUCUGUAGAUUAUCUGGUUACACCGUUGAUUAUUUCUUUCCCUAUGCAGAAACUCUUUCAAUUAGGUCCAAAUUGUCAAAUUUGUUUUUUUGCAAUUGCUUUUGGAGUCUUCCUCAGGAAGUCUUUGCCAGGGCCAAUGUCCAGAAUGGUGUAUCCUAGGUUUUCUUCUAGAAUUUUUUUAGUUUUAGGUUGUACAUUUAAGUCUUCAAUUCAUUUUUAGUUGAUUUUUGUAUAUGGUGAAAGGUACAGAUCCAGUUCUAUUCUUCUGCAUAUGGCUGGCCAGUUAGCCUAGCACCAUUUAUUGAAUAGGGAGUCACUUCCGCAUUGCUUUUCUUUGUUGGUUUUGUCAAAAAUCAGAUGGUUGUGGGGGUACAACUUUAUUUCUGGGUUAACUAAUGCAUUCCAUUGGUCUAUAUCUCUGUUUUUGUAUCAAUAUCAUGUUGUUUUAGUUACUGUAGCCAUGUAGCAUAGUUUGAAGUUGAGUAAUGUGAUAUCUCCAGCUUUGUUCUUUUGGCAUAGGGUUGUCUUGGCUAUUUGAGCUCUUUUUUUGGUUUUAAAUAAAUGUUAGAAUAAUUUUUUCCUAAUUCUAUGAAAAAUGUCAUUGGUAAUUUGAUAGGAAUAGCAUUCAAUCUAUGACAUGCUUUGGAAGUAUGGCCAUUUUAACAAUAUUGAUUCUUCCUAUCCGUGAUCAUGGAAUGUGUUUCCAUUUGUUUGUGUUUUUCCAAUUUCUUUCAGCAGUAUUUUGUAAUUCUCAUUACAGAGAUCUUUCACCUCCCUGGUUAGUUUUAUUCCUAGGUAUUUUAUUCUUUUUGUGGCUAUUAUGAAUGAGAUUGCAUUCUUGAUUUGGCUCUCAGCUUGAACAUUGUUGAUGUUUAGAAAUGCUACUGAUUUUUAUACAUUGAUUUUGUAUCCUGAAACUUUGCUGAAGUCGUUUAUCAGAUCUAGAAGUUUUUAGGCAGAGACUAUGGGGCUUUUUAGAUAUGGAAUCAUGUUAUAUGUAAACAGAGAUAGUUUGAUUUAUUUCUUCCAAUUUGGAUACAUUUUAUGUCUUUCUCUUGCCCAAUUACUCGGGCUAGGAUUUCCAGUACUAAGUUGAAUAGGAGUGGUGAGAGUGAGCCUCCUUGUCUUGUUCCGUUUCCCAAGGGGAAUUGAUAUGGUUUGGCUCUGUGUUCUCACCUAAGUCCCAUCAUGAAUUGUAAUCCCCAUAAUCUCUAUGUGUCAAGGGCAGGACCAGGUGGAGGUAAUUGGAUCAUGGGGGCAGUUUCCCCCAUGCUGUUCUCAUGAUAGUGAAUGAGUUCUCAUAAGGUCUGAUGGUUUUAUAAGCAUCUGGCAUUUCCCCUGCUUGCCCUCACUCCAUCCUGCUGCCCUAUAAAGAAAGUGCCUGCUUCUCCUUUGUCUUCUGCUAUGAUUGUAAGUUCCCUGAGGCCUCCCAAGCCAUGUAGAAUUGUGAGUCAAUUAAACCUCUUUCCUUUAUAAAUUACCCAGUCUUGGAUAUUUCUUCAUAGCAGUGUGAGAAAGGACUAACACAGGAAUGCUUUCAGCUUUUGCCAAUUCAGUAUGAUGUUGGCUGUGGGUUUAUCAUAGAUGGCUCUUAUUAUUUUGAGGUAUGAACUUUUGAUGCCUAGUUUGUUGAGUAUUUUAAACAUGGGAUAUUGAAUUUUGUUGAAAGUCUUUCCUGUUUCUAUUGAGAUGAUCAUGUGGUUUUUGUUUUUAAUUCUGUUUAUAAGGUAAAUCACAUUUGUUGAUUUGCAUAUGUUGAACCAAUCUUGCAUCCCAGGAAUAAAGCCUGCUUGAUCAUGAUGCAUGAGCUUUUUGAUGUGCUGCAGGAUUCAGUUUGCUAGUCAAGAAUUUUUGCAUCUGUGUUUUUCAGGGAUAUUGGCCUGAAAUUAUGUUGUUGUUGUUGUGCUCUGCCAGGUUUUGAUAUUAGAAUGAUGCCAGCUUCAUAGAAUGUGUUAGGAAAAAGUCCCUCCUCAAUUUUUUAGAAUAAUUUUAGUAGGAUUGGUACCACCUCUUCUUUAUAUGUCUGGUAGAAUUUGUCUAUUUGUCUGUGAAUCUGUCUGGUCCAGGGCUUUUUCUAUUUGGUAGGUUUUUUGUUUGUUUGUUUGUUCCUAAUUCCAUUUUGGAGCUCAUUAUUUGUCUGUUCAGGGUCUCAAUUUCUUCCUGGUUGAAUCUUGAGAGGUUAUGUGUUUCCAAGAAUUUAUCCAUUUCUUCUAGGUUUUCCAGUUUGUAUGCUUAGACAUGUUCAUAAUGGUCUCUGAGGUUUUGGUGUCUCUGUGGGGUCAGUGGUAAUGUUACCUUUGUAAUUUCCUAUUGUGUUUAUUUUUAUCUUUUCUCUUUUUUCCUUUAUUCAUUUAGCUAGUGGUCUAUCAAUCUGAUUUAUCUUUUCGAAUAAGCAACUUUUGGUUUUGUUGAUCUUUUGUAUGGUUUUGUUUAUCUUUUGUAUGGUUU